AUUCUACAUGGUAAACAUUUGUACAUCAAAAAGGUCACAUACUCCCUCACCCUCACCCAAAUUAAACAAGUAGUCCUUCUCACAAGGCGGUGGACUUAAUCUGAGAAGCGGUCCGUAAACUGAAAGAAAAAAAAAUUAGAUCUGGGAAAAAAGGAGAAAAAAGGCCAUAAGAAACUGACACUCAUGAGCAUAGUUUUGUUAAGCAAUAAAAGCCAAUGGCCUGCACCUUUGGACCCCAAAUCUCUGAGAAUUACUUCAGCAUCAAGCUCUGUAAGUUCACUGUCUGACUCAGCAUCUGCUUCAGCUGGAUUGUCAACCUCACUCUCAUUUGUUUCACUUUCUUCUUUUUCCUUGACAUCUACAUCCUCAUCUAGCCGAGGCUGCUUUGAGGGUCUACCAGAACUUGGACGACCUCGUUUAGCUAACCCUGAUAGAUAGAAAAUAAUGAUAGGUUAACAACAGUUGGCCGUUACUGAUUUUCUCUUGGUAAAAGAUAAAUAAUACUAACCACCACGAACAGGACUCUGCAUUGCUUCUGCCAUCUUCUUGGUUGGAGAGCCUUUGAUUCCUGAUUUUGAUCGAGUAGCAGGAGGUUCUACUAAUGCUGCGAGUUUUCUUUUUAAAUCUGGGCUGCUGCUUGGACUCCUUGUUGGAGACUUUUCAACAUCAGAGUCAAAGGGAGCCUUAAAAUAAACAAAUUGGAGCAGAACCAGAUAGAUGUAAAUUCUAAUUGAUAGAUACAUACAGGCUCAGGUCAGGAAAAAUUGAGACACCACUUUUCUCGUAAAUUGAUUUGUUGCAAUUUCUACUUCUGAUAUGCCGUCUCAUUCUCACCCAACCUGACGUGUGAUCAAAGACAAAUAAAAAUACCUUUUUGA